UCCAUUUGUAGGUGCCCAACUGGCCUUGUGAUGUAUAUAUCCUCUUGCAAUAACCAUAUGUUUGAAUUAAAGAUGAGAACAUAUGCAUGUGUUUGCACCUGUUCCUUUGGACGAUAUUUCCUUAAUACUUGUCUAUCUUUGCAUAUUUGACAAUCAAGAUGAAAUCCAUAAACCUGGCUUCAGUGAGCACCAUAAUCCAUUCUGAUGCAAGACAUGACAUGCAGCUCGUGCUAAGGAGUGCCAGUACUACUGAAAGGCUCUUAAGUGCCUGUUAUCAUAGAAUCACAGAAUAAUUUUGGUUGGAAAAGACCUUUAAGAUCAUGAAGUCCAGCUGUUAACCCAACAUCAGUCUACCACUAAACCUUGUCCCUAAGAACUUAAUCUACAUGUCUUUUAAGCCCCUCCAGGAUGGUGAUUCUACCACUGCCCUGGGCAGCCUGUUCCAAUGCCCCACAGCCCUUUGGGGAAGAAAUUGUUCCUAAGAUCCCACCUCAACCUCCCCUGGCACAACUUGAGGCCGUUUCCUCUGCUCCUGGCGCUUGUUCCUGGGGAGCAGAGCCCGACCCCCCUGGCUCCAAGCUCCUUUCAGGCAGUUCAGAGAUCAGAAGGUCUCCCCUCAGCUCCUGUUCUCCAGCUGAACCCCCAGGUCCCUCAGCCGCUCCCAUCACACUUGUGCUCCAGCCCCUCACCAGCUCCGUUCCCUUCUCUCCACUCGCUCCAGCACCUCAAGGGCUUGUUGUGAAGGGCCCAAAACUGACCCCAGAAUUUGAGGUGUAGUCCCAACAGUACCCAGCACAGGGAUGGUCACUGCCCUGGGCCUGCUGGCCACACCAGUGCUGGUACCAGACAGGAUGCUGUUGGCCUCUUGGCCACCUGGGCACAUGGUGGCUCAUCUUCAGCUGUUGUUGACCAUCACCCCGAGGUCCUUUUCCUCCAGAUAGCUUUCCAGCUGCUUUUCCCCAAGCCUGAUGAACAGAGCUUGCUGAAGUAAGUAUACAAGUAAGAACAUGAGACAGGCUGACUACGUUUUCUCAUUUCUGCUGCUUUAAAAUACAUCCCUUGAGAUGUGUCUCUUCCUGCCAUCUCCGUGCCAUCUAGUUUCUGUGUGGCUGCAGCCAUCCCCUUUAGUACCUUUGUGGUUGUGACUGCUGAGAGAUUGCAGGGGGUGAAUGGAAGUGUGAUCAUAACAGAAAUGAUAGAGCAGCAGGGCAACAAAGAUGCUGAAGGGAGUGGAGGAAAGGCUGAGGGAGCUGGGGCUCUGGAGCUGGACAAGAGGAGACUGAGGGGGGACUCAUUCAUGUUUACAGAUAUCUAAAGGGGGAGUGUCAGGAGGAUGGAACCAGGCUCUUCUGGUGACCACCAGUGACAGGACAAGGGGCAAUGGGUGCAAACUGGAACACAGCAGGUUCCACUUAAAUUUGAGAAGAAACUUGUUCCUGGUGAGGGUGGCAGAGCCUGGCCCAGGCUGCCCAGGGGGGUUGUGGAGUCUCCUUCUGUGCAGACAUUCCAACCCGCCUGGACACCUUCCUGUGUAACCUCAUCUGGGUGUUCCUGCUCCUUGGGGGGAUUGCACUGGAUGAGCUUUCCAGGGCCCUGCAACCCCUGACACUCUGGGAUUCUGUGAAACCAGGCAUGAGCUGACACUGCAUGUCUGCCUGGCCGGCACCGAGCACAGUUCUGAUGCUGUCAAAAAGGGCAGAUCCUGCUAAAAGAGCGAUUCUCGUUCAUGUUGUUCCUCAAAGUGGGAGGCCAGAGGAGGGAACGGUGAUCAAUCUCCUAGCCAUGUUGGCCAGCCGAAGCAUUUUUAGAUCUUUGUGCCUAUAGCUGAAGUUAAAUUGUGCUUUAGUGUGGCUUUAAAGAGUGAAAUCACCCCCCCAAAAAGGCUUUUUAAUAGCAAUCUGUUGUGGUUGCAAAGUGUCUUAAUUCCUAUAGCUGGCCAAUGUCAAAGCCAAGCUGCUUUUUCAAGCUGUUAGGAGCCAAAGUCAGGAGGCAAAGAAAAGUGCUUUGAGUAUUGUAUCUACCCGUUGCUGUUUCGUUCACCUCCUGUGAUCAUAGCACAAAUGCUGGACAUCGACAUUUCUGCUUCGUAUGGGGAGACUUGAUGGACCUGUUGUUAUUUCUCUCCAAAAUGCCUAUAAUCUGUGUUCACCAUGCCUGAUAAAGCUGGCACUGCUUGUUGACUCUCUCCAAAUGUUGGGCCUGAUUCUGAUCUAAUAGCAGGAUAAAUCUGAGCAUUGCUGCUGAAGUCAACUGAAUUGCACCAGAACGAAGCUGUUGUGAAAUUGCACCUGCUGAGUACAGCAAUGGUGCCACAUUUAUUGUAUGAGCUGGGAGGGAGAAUGGGAGGGAAAUCCUUUGGUGAACACAACGCUGAGUUUGUACUGAAUCACCAGUUAGCAUAAAUGCAUCAACUUCUACACAGAGCCACAUAUUUACACCCUUUCCUUUUUUUUUUUUUUGAGUUUGAGUGCUAGGCCUUUGGGCUGACUGGCUUCCUUUCCACAGGGGAAGCCUCGAGAACGGUAAAAUUGUUUAAAAAUUGCUGCUGAGACAGAACAAGUAAUUUUGCUUACCCACCCUAGGUAGAUUUUAACUGUCUAUCUUGGAUAGACUGAAAGAACAUGAAAAAAAAUGCAUUCUCUGCAGUAUUUGAAGGGCUUUGUGCUUAAAUGUCCUUUCCCUGUGUUACUAGAUAAUUGAUCCCAAGAUGCCGCGUGAGGGUUUGCUCCACAAUGGAGUCCCCAUCCCAGUCCCACCCAUGGAUGUGUUGAAGUUGGGGCAGCAGAGGCAGACGGAGGCAGGAGAAAAGCUCUUCCUUGUCCUUUUCUUUGACAACAAGAGAACCUGGCAGUGGCUUCCCCGUGACAAAGUCUAUCCCCUCGGCGUGGAUGACACAGUGGACAAGUUAAAGAUGAUGGAAGGACGCAAAACCAGCAUCCGCAAGUCUGUGCAGGUGGCAUAUGACCGAGCCAUGAUCCACAUGAGUCGCGUGCGGGGAGAUCAUCCCUUCGUUACGUCCGGUUAUCUGUAAGGGGUCAGGGUUGUUGGUCCUUCUUUUCCUUCAGAGCGGAUCGUCCCGUGCGCUGACUGGAUGGGGGACGCUGUUCCCAGCAGUGCUCAGCACUCCUCAGAGUACCCUGAAAUGUGCCAAAAAGGCUGUCCAGCUUAUUUUUCAAUGUGUCUCGCUGCGGAGCUGGCAGAUGUAAUAUAUAGUCUACAGGGCCGGGAGUGAGGUGGUCAGGAAAACCUGCCGGGUGAUGGGAGCCAAGGCGAGCUGGUGCAGCACACAGAGCGGAGCGUUCGCUCUCCCUCGCCUCCCUCCUGCUGCUGAGGCUUUUCAGUCAUUGACUAGCCCUGACUAAUUCCUGGGGACCCGUCACCAGUGUAACUGAACCAGGGUCCUUUAUGGAAACCCCAACUGGACUUCUGUGCCAAUGUUACCCUGACCAUCACUGGCCUUUUCAUUUUUUUUUUUUUUUAAAUGAUGUUGCGAUUGUCCCAUCACAUUUUUUUUUUUUAAA